rnacentral:misc_RNA from 1 species
CGGACCCUCAUUAAUUAUGACCAAUAGGAUUUUAGCAUAAUUAUUAUUAAAUCUCAAAAAUACUCCUUCACUAAUGAAUAUCACGUGACCCAUCCUUCACUAAUGAUUUAAUAAUAAAUAUAAUGCGCAAGAAUAUAAGCUAAACUCCUAUCUUUAGAUUGAGCAAAAUAUACGUAAUCAUUAAGCAAGAACUAAUAAGAAUCAUAGCGGUUCUAUGUUAUUAAUCCAACACAGUUCUUUCCAUGUAUUACAUAUCAAUCCCUUACCUAACGUGAUCUAUAAUGGGAUAUGACAUAAUGGUCCAACAAUAAUUUCUUCAUUGAAGACAAAUCUUGUCAACAUUCUCAUAAAGUAAUCAAUCAAGUGCAUGUACUAACAUAAUAAGACAGAAUUCACAUAUAUAUCAGAAACAACACAUUAAGAGCUCAAAGUGUCAAAUACAUUACGAAUACAAAACAUUAGAAUUAAACGUCAACAGGGUUUACAAUUUAUCUAUUUAGCAUUAAUUAACUUAUCAGAUCUAAUUAUAAGUAGCACAUUUAUAAAUAAACUUAUUUCAUUGACAACCUAUCUAAGAAACAGGUUGAACACUAUCAGUGUAAAGUAUUAGAAAAGGUGUACUUAUUGUUAGUUGUAUAUACCCUAGAGCAUACACUAAUCUUUUACCUUGUAAAUGACAUUGUAAAUAUUUUAAUGGCAAUUAACAUUUCAUUUAAAUGUUGUAUGUUUCAUAUCAUAUUUAUUUGAAAUUGUCCAUUAGCAAUAUGUUAUAUAUUCUAUUCUUAUGAGAUAAGAAUAUGAGUGACAGAAUAUAUGGGAUAUUUGCUAUAAAUCAGAGGUCAUGUGGGUCAUGAAACUAGAACCUGCGUUGGUCCAGGCAGUGGUUCCCGGAGUGCUACUCAUGUUUGGAGAAAGGGAGGAGUGUGCAAUGUAGUCUUUUUCCCUAAAUGCUUCCAUCUCUAUGACUGUGUGGGUAAGGCAAGAGUUGGACAUGACGAAAGGCACACGGUGCCAAGGAUCCCUGCCAUUUUAGAACUUUGUAUACAAGCUGGGGUAAACCUGGAAAAGCUCCCUACAAGGAGGAGGACAAAACCUGUAUAUUCCAUGGAAGGAAGAAUAGUAGAUUUUGAGCUAGUGGCAGAAACGAAUGAAAUUAAAAACUCUCACUUUGAGAAUAUUGAUCCUCUUGUGAGUUCUAAUUUUGGGGCUGAAUUUGAUGGAGUAACAACUAAUUUUGAGUUGGAGAAAAAUACUGACAAUUCAGAUGAAUCAAAUGAUCGACCAGCUGAAAGGGAUUUAAGUAUUGGGACAAUGGAGUCAUGGUUUGAAAUGAUUUCAGAGGCAAAGAAGAUCAUGGAUAAGUACAGUGUUUUAACCUGUGGAUUUUGUCCUGAGGUUCAGGUAGGUCCCAAGGGACAUAAGGUGAGGAUGUGCAAGGCAACCAAGCAUCAGUCUCGCGAUGGUCAACAUGCAUGGCAAGAAGCAACAAUAGAGGAUCUUGUGGGUCCAAAUUAUGUGUGGCAUGUCCGAGAUCUGAAUGGUCCUUCUCUGGAUAACAAAUUGAAGAGGUAUUAUGGCAAGGCUCCUGCUGUAGUUGAGUUAUGUGUGCAGACUGGUACACCUGUUCCAGAUCAAUAUCGGAGUAUGAUGAGAUUAGAUGUUAUUCCUCCUAACCGAGAUGAAGUUGAUCUUGUUGCCUGAACUGGUGUUUCAUAAUGCUGAUAGGUGUGCACUUAUAUUAUCUUAGACAAUCUGUGGAUGAUGAAGAAAUUCUGUGUUUAUGGUGUCAGACAUGUAGUAAUGCAACUUGUUUGUCUGGGAUGAUAUAAUAGUAAUGCAACUUGUGGAGCAUGUGUUAUGUUUGUGCAUUACAUUCACUAAUUUCAUUUUUAUAUCUUCUGUUAUUUGCAGAGCCACAGUAAGAAGGUUCAGUUUCAGAAUGAACAUACAUUUACUUGGAUUUUUAUUCUUUGCUUCAGAAAUUUUACAUUUUAAUCCUCAGUGACCGCAUGAACCAGAGAAGAGGACAUCACUGAUUCUCUUUAUCAUUUCUGGGUUCAUGAUGUAUUUUCUUAUGCUUGAGUUAUCCCUUAGAAUUCCCAGGAGACUGCCACAACAUGAAUGGAGGGGGGCACAUCUAAUUGGUUGGCUUCAGAAGGCCCAAUGAUUAUUGUACUUGUCUCCAUUGUGUAUUGGAUGCUACAGGAACCGGUGGCAAUGUUGAUGCCUACUCCUCCAUAAUUAGGGAAUCUAUAGUUUGUCCAGUUGCCAAUCUCUUCUAUCGAUCUCAUCUGGUGCACUUAUUUGAUCUUAACAUUUUUUUUUUUACAAGUUCAUCCUUGCAUGUAAAUAGUUGUCCUUCGUUGGUUGUUCAGUGUGAUGCUCAGCAAUCUCUGAGGUACAGUUUGAUUGAGAUCGCAAAUUAGAUUUUGUGCUUUGGUUUGAGAUAAUCCAAGUUUUGAGUUGGGGUCUUGGUUUCACUAGCAAUGAAAAUGAGUUAGUCAUUAAAUGUAUAAGAGGUGGUAUAUUUUAUCAUUAUUGAUUUGUAGUGGAAAAAACCUAUGUUACUCAGAUUCGGGUAUGGGUGUUGAAAAUGGGUACAUAUCUGUGUGUCAACUUUCUAAAUAGAAAAUAUAGGGAUAUGUUCUAAAUUUAAACAUAGGUGCUCGGAUACGUUAUGUAGGCCGAAAGGAUUGAAAUAAUAUGUCCAAAGGGGGGCCAACUAAUUGUGAUAUGCAACCAUUAGAUUCUCGAAAUAUUCAAUAUUUUUUAACUUGUUUUGUACCUAUCCUUUAAUUCAAAGUUGCAUUCUGUUAUUAACUUUUUUUUACCUAUCCUUUAAUUCAAUAUGCUUUUCAUCUUGAGAGAUCUCUGUCACUGUUACUCGAGUGUCAGGCUAAAUGAAGACUAAAUGAAUGUGUGUGGCACACAUAUUCCAUGUCGUGUGGACAUGGGUACAGCAGGGCAAAAAGGAAGAGUCUGAGUAUUAGAGGCACCAAGUGUUAAGCAAGGCAGGGAAUCAAAAGAUGAAGCUAAAUAAGAAAAUAUCAACAGAACAAUAAACUUA